AGGUUAUGAUGAGGGCAUUUCCUUUACAAGUCUUUAAAUCUCUCCCAUGCCUCAAAUAAUGAUUCAGUGUCCAAGUGUGAAUAAGCUGUAAUCUCUAGACGCAACUU